rnacentral:rRNA from 1 species
GAGUUUGAUUAUGGCUCAGAUUGAACGCUGGCGGCAUGCUUUACACAUGCAAGUCGAACGGCAGCACGGAAGAGCUUGCUCUUUUGGUGGCGAGUGGCGAACGGGUGAGUAACGCAUCGGAACGUACCGAGUAGUGGGGGAUAACUGUCCGAAAGGAUGGCUAAUACCGCAUAUUCUCUGAGGAGGAAAGCAGAGGACCUUCGGGCCUUGCGCUAUUUGAGCGGCCGAUGUCUGAUUAGCUAGUUGGUGGGGUAAAGGCCUACCAAGGCGACGAUCAGUAGCGGGUCUGAGAGGAUGAUCCGCCACACUGGGACUGAGACACGGCCCAGACUCCUACGGGAGGCAGCAGUGGGGAAUUUUGGACAAUGGGGGGAACCCUGAUCCAGCCAUGCCGCGUGUCUGAAGAAGGCCUUCGGGUUGUAAAGGACUUUUGUCAGGGAAGAAAAGCUUGAGGUUAAAACCCU